rnacentral:rRNA from 1 species
UACGUAGGGGGCAAGCGUUGUCCGGAUUUAUUGGGCGUAAAGAGCGUGUAGGCGGCCUGACAGGUCUGCUGUGAAACUCGAGGCUCAACCUCGAGAUGUCGGCGGAAACCGUCUGGCUAGAGUCCGGAAGAGGAGAGUGGAAUUCCUGGUGUAGCGGUGAAAUGCGCAGAUAUCAGGAAGAACACCUAUGGCGAAGGCAGCUCUCUGGGACGGUACUGACGCUGAGACGCGAAAGCGUGGGGAGCGAACAGG